rnacentral:snRNA from 1 species
GUGCUCACUUUGAGAGCUCGUAUAGCUAAAAUUGGAAAGAUACAGAGAAGAUUAGCUUGGCCCCUGUGCAAGGAUGAUACGGAAAUUCAUGAAGCAUUGCAUAUUUUU